UACGGAGGGUGCAAGCGUUAUCCGGAUUCACUGGGUUUAAAGGGAGCGUAGGUGGGCUGGUAAUCAGUGGUGAAAAUCUCCGGGCUUAACCCGGAACUGCCGUUGAUACUAUCAGUCUUGAAUAUUGUGGAGGUAAGCGGAAUAUGUCAUGUAGCGGUGAAAUGCUUAGAUAUGACAUAGAACACCGAUAGCGAAGGCAGCUUGCUACACAAUGAUUGACACUGAGGCUCGAAAAGCGUGGGGGAUCAAACAGG
rnacentral:rRNA from 1 species